rnacentral:tRNA from 1 species
UCCCAGGUGGCUGAAUGGGUAAAGAACCUGCCUUCAAUGCAGGAGGCACAACAGAGGCAGGUUUGAUCCCUGGGUUGGGAA